UACAGAGGGGGCAAGCGUUGUUCGGAAUUACUGGGAGUAAAGGGCGCGUAGGCGGCCGCCUAAGUCAGACGUGAAAUCCCCAGGCUUAACCUGGGAACUGCAUUCGAGACUGCAUUGCUAGAGUAUGGGAGAGGGAAGUGGAAUUUCCGGUGUAGCGGUGAAAUGCGUAGAUAUCGGAAGGAACAUCAGUGGCGAAAGCGACUUCCUGGACCAAUACUGACGCUCAUGUGCGAAAGCGUGGGGAGCAAACAGG
rnacentral:rRNA from 1 species